GUGCCAGCAGCCGCGGUAAGACGUAGGAUGCAAGCGUUGUCCGGAUUUAUUGGGCGUAAAGAGUUCGUAGGCGGUUCGUUAAGUCUGAUGUUAAAGAUCGAGGCUCAACCUCGGGAGUGCAUUGGAUACUGGCGGACUGGAGUGUGGUAGAGGCUAGUGGAAUUCCCAGUGUAGCGGUGAAAUGCGUAGAUAUUGGGAAGAACACCGGUGGCGUAGGCGACUAGCUGGGCCAUAACUGACGCUGAGGAACGAAAGCCAGGGGAGCGAAUGGGAUUAGAAACCCUGGUAGUCC
rnacentral:rRNA from 1 species